GAUGAAGAACGAAGCGAAAUGCGAUAAGUAAUGUGAAUUGCAGAAUUCAGUGAAUCAUCGAAUCUUUGAACGCACAUUGCGCCCGCCAGCACUCUGGCGGGCAUGCCUGUUCGAGCGUCAUUUCAACCAUCAAGCCCCCAGGGGCUUGUGCUGGGGCCCUGCGGCUGCCCGCAGGCCCUGAAAACCAGUGGCGGGCUCGCUAGUCACACCGAGCGCAGUAGCACAUCUCGCUCAGGGCGUGCGGCGGGCUCCUGCCGUGAAACCCCCCACUGUAACCCCAAAGGUUGACCUCGGAUCAGGUAGGAAUACCCGCUGAACUUAAGCAUAUCAAUAAGCGGAGGA
rnacentral:misc_RNA from 1 species